rnacentral:rRNA from 1 species
UAACACGUAGGUAACCUGCCUAUGUGCCCGGGAUAACUUCUGGAAACGGAUGCUAAAACCGGAUAGGUAGCAGACAAGCAUUUGACUGCUAUUAAAGUGGCUAAGGCCAUGAACAUGGAUGGACCUGCGGUGCAUUAGCUAGUUGGUGAGGUAACGGCCCACCAAGGCGACGAUGCAUAGCCGGCCUGAGAGGGCGGACGGCCACAUUGGGACUGAGACACGGCCCAAACUCCUACGGGAGGCAGCAUG